GUUGUUGGGUAGGGGAGCGUUCUGUAAGCCGUUGAAGGUGGCCUGUGAGGGCUGCUGGAGGUAUCAGAAGUGCGAAUGCUGACAUAAGUAACGAUAAAGCGGGUGAAAAGCCCGCUCGCCGGAAGACCAAGGGUUCCUGUCCAACGUUAAUCGGGGCAGGGUGAGUCGACCCCUAAGGCGAGGCCGAAAGGCGUAGUCGAUGGGAAACAGGUUAAUAUUCCUGUACUUGGUGUUACUGCGAAGGGGGGACGGAGAAGGCUAUGUCAGCCGGGCGACGGUUGUCCCGGUUUAAGCGUGUAGGUGUGUGUUCCAGGCAAAUCCGGUUCACUUUAACACUGAGGCGUGAUGACGAGGCACUACGGUGCUGAAGUGAUAAAUGCCCUGCUUCCAGGAAAAGCCUCUAAGCAUCAGGUAACACGAAAUCGUACCCCAAACCGACACAGGUGGUCAGGUAGAGAAUACCAAGGCGCUUGAGAGAACUCGGGUGAAGGAACUAGGCAAAAU
rnacentral:rRNA from 1 species